GUUGAAGAACGUAGCGAAAUGCGAUAAGUAGUGUGAAUUGCAGAAUUCAGUGAAUCAUCGAAUCUUUGAACGCACAUUGCGCCCUUUGGUAUUCCAAAGGGCAUGCCUGUUCGAGCGUCAUUUGUACCCUCAAGCUUUGCUUGGUGUUGGGCGUCUUGUCUCUAGCUUUGCUGGAGACUCGCCUUAAAGUAAUUGGCAGCCGGCCUACUGGUUUCGGAGCGCAGCACAAGUCGCACUCUCUAUCAGCAAAGGUCUAGCAUCCAUUAAGCCUUUUUUUCAACUUUUGACCUCGGAUCAGGUAGGGAUACCCGCUGAACUUAAGCAUAUCAAUAAGCGGAGGA
rnacentral:misc_RNA from 1 species